rnacentral:snRNA from 1 species
GGAUAUGAGGGCUACCUGGUUGCUACUUCUUUCACCUCGUUGGUCACCAGGUUUGGUUUGAUUAAUCUGCCUAACUAGGUGGGUGCCCUCUUCCUUCCUCACUGUUCCAUGUGUGUCCCUUCCAAAGCUGUGGGCUCAGUUGAAGAGUAUGACUUUCCCUGAUAGAGGAGGACUGUUCUUUGGUCAGGGGUAUAUGAGUAGCUGCACUCCCUUGCUAGCCCCUCCAGAUAAGCUCUCAAGGUCCUUUUGUAGGAGAACAUAGGGCAGUCAAGAUUGCAAGACUCCAAACAGAUCCAAAUGAGGUUCUGCAAGUGACAGCAGGGGGAAAAAUAUCACAAUAAUACUUCCUUGU